GGCUCGAUUCCUUACCUUCCAAACUCAAUUUCUUUAUUAAACAGUAGAAAGCAAACCUUUUCAUAGAGCAUCAGAAAGCAAGCUCAAGCACAACACUAUUAUCACACCUUUCACGAUAUUUUUUUCAGGAGUCUGCCCCUGAUUUUAAUCCAGAGGAUCUGCUUUUGGAACUGGCAUGUCCAGCCUUGGUGUUUGCCUGCUGAGGAAGAGGCCUGCUCUUUUCUCCAGUCUUGCUAUGUGAAUUUUUCUCUCUCCAAGUAAUUCCUUAGCAUCCCCUUGAAUGGCAUCUACCACACUAGAUAACUUUUUCAGCCUACAAGGCUGAAACAACUUCCCUUAACUGCAAUGGCUCCAGCAGAACUAUUCACUAGAAGACAUCCUCCUUGAUUUCUUGCGGGGCCUGCAAGAUGACAGAAGUUGAAGAAUAGUAAAGACUUGGAACAGACAUCGAGGUCCUAUUGCUCCUGUUGGAAACUUCUGUUCACUGCAGCAUGAGUUGGAUUGGACCCAGAGAAACCAAAUACAGACAAGUAACAAUGAGUUGGCCAUACAAGCAAGGAAAAUCACAGAUAACAGAUCUGGUAUAGAGCUGAGCACCCUGAGUGUCUUCUCACUGAAACCCCCUCCUGAUGUGUCCAGGGAAAAGCUGCAAACAUUCUGAACAAGAACACAGGAAUGUUUCAGCUACCUGCAGCCUCAUCCGAUGACGCUUAAUGAUCUCAGCUAGCUCGAUCUUCUGUGCACCAGCAGGGACUUUAAAUUGGUCAACUGUAUGGAACACUGUUUGCAACUUUAAUGUACUUAGAAUCAAUCUUUUAAAAUAAUGGCAUAUAUAAAGAGAGUAUAUAUACGUAGCACACACAUAUAUGUGUGCAUUUAUGURUGCAUGCGUGUGUAGGCAUGUAUCUAUACAUGUAAGUGCACACAUAUGUAGAGAAAUGCUGAUCCUAUUCACCUUUUUGAAAUCUUCACAGCUAGUAUUAGCAUGAACGUGCUGUUAAAUUGGCAGUGUUAUACAUUUUUGUUGGAGUUUACUUCUGUAACAUAAAAUCAUAAAGAYAAGCUGUGAAACUCGUGCAGCUGAUGACAUAAUUCUAGAGUCUCGUGAUGCUGAAUCUCAUAUUUCUARGAGUGUGGGAUGGAUGUUCCUCACUGAAAUAAUUAUACUGCCUAUUGCAAUAUAUGUUUCCUUGUUUUUAUGUGGGCACUGAGAUGUCCAAACUAUUAAACAUAUAUGGUACAAUGAGUCCUGUGUUCCUUAUUUA